rnacentral:rRNA from 1 species
AUGGAACAGAGAGCACGAGCAGUGUCUUGUUCUUGGGCAACCUACAGGCAACGGAGUGUUCGGAACAGGAAACGUCCCCGGCCCAUCGAUGCCAACGAAUCUGCCGCAGCAGAGUCACAUCCCAUGUCCGAGUUCUGCGAUGGAAAGAGGAAGGCCGUCACCGAGAUCGGAUUCGGCGGAGUUCUACGCAUGCCGAUGAACGGCAAUGCCAACCUCAGGCACACCGUGUCACUUCUCAGCAGAGUUGAUCUGAAUUCCAGGUCCCUGCCCAUCGGGAAAGAUGUCAGGGUCCAAAUGAGCCCAGAGCACAUAGAGAGGCUGAUAGGCACGCCCUCGAGAGGCCGGCGAGUCUGUGGACUGGACCCGGACACCCCGGAAGAGAGGACGGACUUCGUGAGGCUCGCCAUGGGCUCGCAGCGGUUCUGCGACGACGGGCUGAAGGCCGCCGAGCUCGUCGUCCGGCGGGACUGGGACGGGUCGGUCACCGCCGAGAGGGUGGAUGAGUUCAAAGUGGCGUUCGUCGUCUGGAUCGUCGGGCGUUUUCUUGCUCCGUCCGCGAAGCGUGGUGAUCAUGGGUGCUCGGACUUCUGGGGCUCGCUCUACAACGCGGAUGAGAUCAGAGAAUACAACUGGAGCGCGUAUUUCCUCGCACACAUCAUGGAUGCUGCAGCAAGGGUUCAGUCAGACAUCAGGAACAAGAGGGCCACGACUACAAUGCUGAUCACUGGUUGCCCGCUUCUCCUACAGUUGUACGACUUGUACCUUGGGCCCCUGAGCAAGCCACACUUGGUGUCCCCUAGUGUCAAAUACUACGACAGCGAGACACUCGUCAACAAGAUGAUCGGUGCCGAUAAGCCACCCAAGAUUUCAGCGCAAGGGGAGCCAUCCUUCAAAGCAUGUGGCCCUCGCCGCCGAGAAGAGUCAUGCUCCAUGACUACGGAUCCAGGGCAACCAAGCUCAUCCCAUGUUUUGAGGCCAGGUCAGGGUGCACCCAAACCCCCUCACGUCCAAGUAACAAAUCAAGUCCCACCGAUCCUCCACCCCUACAAUGCAAACGACUUCUGCGAGUUUUUGAAGGAGAGAUACCCGGACGUGAUCGAUUCUGAAUUGGUAGACCAUUUGAAGUUCCACAAUGCUAGGUGCAUCCUGCAUGCUAGCAUAUUCAAGAACUCCAUCAUCACUGAGAACAUGAAACUCGCGGCCAAAAUACUAGACACGCAGACGCAGAGACAGCGAAAGCAGCAAGCGCCUGCCCGGUCUCGUGUUUUAGAAGACUACUUCACCGCUAGUGAUUCUGAAACCGAAACAGAGAAGAAACGAGCCAGGACCCAUGAAAACAGCUGGCCAGAUAUUGCUCCAUGCUUCUCUGUCGGCACAUCUCAGUGUGUUCUUGGGACUUCUGAGCUUCAGGUGGCUGGUGGUGCUAUGAGAAAUGGUGCUUGCGUGAAUGCCGGCAUUACGGUGGGAAAGAAAAUGUGUGAAUGGAACAAAGGGGGGAGUUUCUCCAUGCCGAAGAUUUGGCAGUGGUCUGAUCUGAAGGUCAAGUUACCUGCCGGCUUAGAUGAUUGUUCAGAGGAGCUUUCCAUGGAUGAAGAGAGGUGGCACUGUGGAUAA